GACGGAGGGUGCAAGCGUUGUUCGGAAUUACUGGGCGUAAAGGGCGCGUAGGCGGUCUGCUAAGUUCGGUGUGAAAUCCCCCUGGCUCAACUGGGGAACUGCGCCGGAAACUGGCAGACUAGAGUACCGGAGAGGAGGGUGGAAUUCCUGGUGUAGCGGUGAAAUGCGUAGAUAUCAGGAGGAACACCGGUGGCGAAGGCGGCCCUCUGGACGGAUACUGACGCUGAGGCGCGAAAGCGUGGGGAUCAAACAGG
rnacentral:rRNA from 1 species